rnacentral:tmRNA from 1 species
GGGGGCGAUCGGUUUCGACUGGGUCACCAUAGGUUGUGGUGGCGUGCCGUGGUUGAUCAGUUGGCCACGUAAAAAGCUGAUCAAAACAUAAUUGCCAAUAAGCAAUUUGCAAUGGCUGCCUAAUAAGGCAACCCCGGCUUAGGAAUCCCUGUCUGAGGAGUCCGACAGCCGGUCACAAUUUCAGACUGGCAUCGGAUCAACGACCGCUACGUCCGAUGCGAGAAAAGUGGUGGUCUGGUCUCGUGAAGGCUUUGUUCGUUGAGGCUUCACGAGACGAGAUUAAUCGACGAACUACGCACGUAGAUGCUGCAAUUGCGGGUCCACAGGACGCGGGUUCGAUUCCCGCCGCCUCCAUUC